AUAACAGACAUCUAGGAGUAUCAGAGCAUAAUAAAUGUCUAAAUGCUACAACAAGGGAUAAGGAUAAAACUGUAAAUCCACUAAAUAAAACAUAAAGUGAUACAAGGAAGUCCCAGAUACAAGUGCUAUAGGUAGAUACAUAGGUGGUCUCUAUACAUGGAUACAAAAACCUCUCACUCUCUCAACUACAAAAAGAAAGAGUAAACCACCUAGGCAAAGUACCGCUCCUCGCUAGCUAGCUAAGCGAUCCCCUUGCCGCAAUCCCGUGCCUCCGCCGGUGCCGAAGGCUCUGAAAAGUAAACCAUAAAAC
rnacentral:lncRNA from 1 species